ensembl:lncRNA
GUGGGGUUCCCCCUGUGCUGUGAUGGGUGUUUUAUAUGAUGAGUCUUAUCUUUUCUCUCCACUGGCUAUCUGGCUAACAGGCUACACUCUAGACAGUCUCUUCUGCUGAUGUGUGUGUGUCUGGUAGUGGGUCUCUCUCUAUCCUACUCUUUUCCUUUCUGCAGGGUUAAUACCUGUCUGACGUCCCAACAAAUCUCUACCUUUACCCCUCUCUAACAAUACUGCUACAAGGUUUACCAACACUUGAAGUUUAAUAUGUCAAAUGUUUCUACAAGAUAAUAGCCACUAGCAUCACAUGAUCACUAACCACCACAUGUUCAGACUCACCUCAGCUGUGAGAUGUAGGGCAGACACUGAAGGAAACUCCUCACUUCACUCUCUUCAUCUGACCAGUCCUUCAGCUCUACUGGUUUUUUGUCUGGUUGGAGUUUCAGCACUUCUAGGAGGAGGGAGGCCUUUCUCUCUGAGAGGUCUAUGGACCAGACUGCAGGAGCUGACUGGUAAACUGGCUGUAAAGCUGGAAGGACACUCCUGCCUGUUUGAGUCUCAUAGUCCUUCACAUGUGAGUACAGAUCCAGCAGGAAAUCACAUUGAUAUUCCUCAACAUCAUGAUCCCAUUCACAGAAGGGAAAGGUGCUGUAAGAACACACUGAUGAUACCAGCUUCAGUGUCUUCUCUCCUGUCUGCUCCUCCCACUCUGCUGCUUGAGACAGGAGAUCCACCAGGAACUUGAUCUGCUCUGAGGGAUCAGACCUCCGUGGACAGAAACU